AGAGUUUGAUCAUGGCUCAGAUUGAACGCUGGCGGCAGGCCUAACACAUGCAAGUCGAACGGUAACAGGAAGCAGCUUGCUGCUUUGCUGACGAGUGGCGGACGGGUGAGUAAUGUCUGGGAAACUGCCUGAUGGAGGGGGAUAACUACUGGAAACGGUAGCUAAUACCGCAUAACGUCGCAAGACCAAAGAGGGGGACCUUCGGGCCUCUUGCCAUCGGAUGUGCCCAGAUGGGAUUAGCUAGUAGGUGGGGUAAAGGCUCACCUAGGCGACGAUCCCUAGCUGGUCUGAGAGGAUGACCAGCCACACUGGAACUGAGACACGGUCCAGACUCCUACGGGAGGCAGCAGUGGGGAAUAUUGCACAAUGGGCGCAAGCCUGAUGCAGCCAUGCCGCGUGUAUGAAGAAGGCCUUCGGGUUGUAAAGUACUUUCAGCGGGGAGGAAGGGAGUAAAGUUAAUGCCUUUGCUCAUUGACGUUACCCGCAGAAGAAGCACCGGCUAACUCCGUGCCAGCAGCCGCGGUAAUACGGAGGGUGCAAGCGUUAAUCGGAAUUACUGGGCGUAAAGCGCACGCAGGCGGUUUGUUAAGUCAGAUGUGAAAUCCCCGGGCUCAACCUGGGAACUGCAUCUGAUACUGGCAAGCUUGAGUCUCGUAGAGGGGGGUAGAAUUCCAGGUGUAGCGGUGAAAUGCGUAGAGAUCUGGAGGAAUACCGGGUGGCGAAGGCGGCCCCCUGGACGAAGACUGACGCUCAGGUGCGAAAGCGUGGGGAGCAAACAGGAUUAGAUCCCUGGGAGCCAC
rnacentral:rRNA from 1 species